UACGUAGGGGGCAAGCGUUUGUCCGGAUUAUUGGGCGUAAAGAGCGUGUAGGCGGCCAUACAGGUCAGCUGUGAAAACUCGAGGCUCAACCUCGAGACGUCGGUUGAAACCGUAUGGCUAGAGUCCGGAAGAGGAGAGUGGAAUUCCCGGUGGUAGCGGUGAAAUGCGCCAGAUAUCGGGAAGAACACCCGUGGCGAAGGCGGCUCUCUGGGACGGUACUGACGCUGAGACGCGAAAAG
rnacentral:rRNA from 1 species